rnacentral:rRNA from 1 species
UUGCCUCAGUAGCGGCGAGUGAAGCGGCAAAAGCUCAAAUUUGAAAUCUGGCGUCUUUGGCGUCCGAGUUGUAAUUUGAAGAAGGUAUCUUUGGGCCCGGCUCUUGUCUAUGUUCCUUGGAACAGGACGUCACAGAGGGUGAGAAUCCCGUGCGAUGAGAUGACCCGGGUCUGUGUAAAGUUCCUUCGACGAGUCGAGUUGUUUGGGAAUGCAGCUCUAAGUGGGUGGUAAAUUCCAUCUAAAGCUAAAUAUUGGCGAGAGACCGAUAGCGAACAAGUACAGUGAUGGAAAGAUGAAAAGAACUUUGAAAAGAGAGUGAAAAAGUACGUGAAAUUGUUGAAAGGGAAGGGCUUGAGAUCAGACUUGGUAUUUUGCAUGCUGCUCUCUCGGGGGCGGCCGCUGCGGUUUACCGGGCCAGCAUCGGUUUGGAGCGGCAGGAUAAUGGCGGAGGAAUGUGGCACGGCUUCUGCUGUGUGUUAUAGCCUCUGACGAUGCUGCCAGCCUAGACCGAGGACUGCGGUUUUUAACCUAGGAUGUUGGCAUAAUGAUCUUAAGUCGCCCGUCUUGAAACACGGACCAAGGAGUCUAACGUCUAUGCGAGUGUUUGGGUGUAAAACCCGUACGCGUAAUGAAAGUGAACGAAGGUGGGGGCCCAUUAGGGUGCACCAUCGACCGAUCCUGAUGUGUUCGGAUGGAUUUGAGUAAGAGCAUAGCUGUUGGGACCCGAAAGAUGGUGAACUAUGCCUGAAUAGGGUGAAGCCAGAGGAAACUCUGGUGGAGGCUCGUAGCGGUUCUGACGUGCAAAUCGAUCGUCGAAUUUGGGUA